CACGAUCAGCUGACCCGGAAGAAUGCGAGUCCCUGCUGUAUAGUGAGUAUCAGACAGUGCUCUCCUGCAUUGCUUCUGCCAAACGUUGCCAUGCCAGAGCACCAUGAUACCAGUUUACCUCCGGAGGAGAGGAUCCGGGCUCUAAUUGCAUUAGGGACCUCUGUCGAAGUGAACGAUGACAUCCCUCCAAGGCGCUAUUACCGAUCUGGUGUGGAAUUGAUACGCAUGGCUAAUGUGUAUGCCAGCGAGGGAAACACUGAACAUGCAUUUGUUUUAUACAACAAGUAUAUCACAUUGUUUGUAGAGAAGCUACCAAAGCACCGGGAUUAUAAUACAGCUAAUGUUUUAGAAAGGAAAGAUACUCGAAAGAAACUUAGGGAUGUGGCCUUUCCCAAAGCAGAGCUCCUGAAGAAAGAACUUCAAAAGAAGUACGGUAAAGAAUAUGCAGAACAUGCUGAGAAAAAGAGGGUUGAAGAGGAGGAAUGUGCCCGUCGCCUGGCUCUACAGCAACAACUCGAGGCAGAGAAGCAGCGGGUGGCCCUCAUGAGACAGCAGCAGCAACAGCAGGAGCAGUUAAAUGCCUUUGAAGAAUUGAUCCGUAGGAAAGAGCUGGAGGCCGAGCGACUACGAGUCCUUCACCAGUUUUCAAAGGACAGCUCCAACCUCUCAGAGGGACCCCUUAUUCCAGGAGUCAAUGAGCCUCCCGUGACACCUAUGCCCCCCACAAAUGACAUUGUUCUUCCUAGACCACCUGUUGUUGACAGAAGUCUGAAGCCAGCUUCUAUAGGCUACAACGAGGGAUAUGUGUCCACCAGUGGGCUGCGUCAUGUGAGAAUUCCCAGCCUUGUGUGCAUCAAGUUUUUGCAGCUAGCAGAAAGUAACACACAGAGAGGAGUCGAGACUUGCGGAAUCUUGUGUGGGAAGCUGAUGAAGAAUGAAUUUACCAUCACACAUGUCAUUGUGCCUAAGCAGACCGGUGGUCCUGAUUACUGCAACACUGAGAAUGAGGAAGAUAUAUUCCUGAUCCAAGACCAGCAUGGGCUCAUCACGCUUGGCUGGAUACAUACCCAUCCCACUCAGACUGCUUUCCUCUCCAGUGUUGACCUGCACACUCACUGCUCAUACCAAAUGAUGCUUCCAGAGUCUAUUGCCAUUGUCUGCUCUCCAAAGUUUCAAGAGUGGAACCGGAUUCUUCAAGCUGACAGAGUAUGGCAUGAAAGAGAUUGGUGACUGUCGGGAAAAAGGGUUUCAUCCACAUUGCAAAGAUCCUCCUCUUUUUUCAGCCGGCAGCCAUAUAUCUGUGUGUGAGCAGGAUGUCACAAUCAUGGACCUGCGAUAACAUCGUGCAAGGACUAUCCUGAACCUCUUUGCAAACCUAUGACUUGCCAAAUUGCCAUUAAUAACACUGCAAAAUAAAUCAAUAAAAAAGCUGUACAUAGAGGGAUGUUGCAGUGUACAAUUCUGUCACUGCUCACAGUGGAAUUGCUACAAGUAGACUUCAAAAACACACUUGUCUGUUAGCAGCAGAAUUUGUGAAUACACUCCUCCUGAUGUUGUAGGAAACUCUGCGGUGCUUGCUCCAUAUGAUUAUUCUUAUAGGAACACGUUAGCUGAAUCUCUCUCCAAUAUAAAUGGAGAUUGAGAUUUACAAACUGUUUGGAUGCUUGGAUGGACACAGCGCCAGUGAAAAUGACUAAUACUAUGGAUGCCAUUCAGCAUUUUGAAAUAAAUAGGCCCUUUUUCCUCCAAUUUUUCACAGCUUAAUCAAUCUUCCCAACAGCAUCUCUCUUGUACACCCCUUCUGUCUUUAUCUCUGUCCCCUAAAGUAGAGAAAAAUUUCAUUAAUUUGGAUGGUGGACAAACAUUUCUCAAAGGACAGCUGUCAUCACAUCCCCACCCA